CGCGUAAGAACUUACCUUUUGGCGGGGGAUAACAGCGGGAAACUGCUGCUAAUACCCCAUAAUGCUGAGGAGCUAAAAGUGAAAACUGCCAAGAGAGAGGCUUGCGUCUGAUUAGCUAGUUGGUGAGGGUAAAGGCCUCCCAAGGCGACGAUCAGUAGCUGGUCUGAGAGGAUGAUCAGCCACACUGGGACUGAGACACGGCCCACACUCCUACGGGAGGCAGCAGUGGGGAAUUUUCCACAAUGGGCGAAAGCCUGAUGGAGCAAUACCGCGUGAGGGAUGAAGCAUCGUGGUGUGUAAACCUCUUUUCUUAAGGAAGAAUCAAUGACGGUACUUAAGGAAUAAGCACCGGCUAACUCUGUGCCAGCAGCCGCGGUAAUACAGAGGGUGCAAGCGUUGUCCGGAAUGAUUGGGCGUAAAGCAUCUGUAGGUGGUUUCUAAAGUCAACUGUUAAAUCCCAGAGCUCAACUUUGGUCGAGCAGUUGAGUACUUAGGGACUUGAGUACGGUAGGGGUAGAGGGAAUUCCUUGUUUAGCGGUGAAAUGCAUAGAGAUAAGGAAGAACACCAGCGGCGAAGGCGCUCUACUGGGCCGUAACUGACACUGAGAGAUGAAAGUUAGGGGAGCGAAAAGGAUUAGAUACCCUUGUAGUCCUAACCGUAAACGAUGGAUACUAAGUGCUGUCAAAAACAGUGCUGUAGCUAACGCGUUAAGUAUCCCGCCUGGGGAGUAUGCUCGCAAGAGUGAAACU
rnacentral:rRNA from 1 species